ACUGCUCAGCACCGAGCUGACCCACGGAUGUGCUGUGCAGAGCAGCAAAGCAUGGUUAAAGUUAACCCAGGGCCAUCUGUCUCCAUUUUCCUCAUCUACUCAAUCACAGAUGGAGAGGACACUGCCAUUUGUGAUGAAGGUUUAGCUCCCUUCCUCCUCCACACUCCUCCCAUGCCUGCAAUAUAUGUGCUUACUUCUUUUCUUGGAUUUGUUCCUUUAUAAUGUGGGUGUGCCUGACAUGGCAGCACAUCCCUGUGCACUGGGAGAUCCAUCAUGGCCUAAAGAGGAUUUGUUGCCUGUUCCCUGGGCCAGCAGUGCAGCCUGAGUUCUGCAAUAGUCAGCCAAAGGCAUGCAGAGCAGGUCCGGCUCCCUGCCACUCAUCUCCCAGUCUUUCUUGCUUCUCUAGCUGGGUUUAAAACAGAAAGCUCAGCAGCUCCCCCCUGAAACUCCAUCCCUGCUUCAUAAAAAGACUUGAGUCUCAAGACAGAAAAAUGGUCCAGGAAAAUCCAUCUCAAAACUGGCCCUUGUGGUCCAGGACAACGGUUCAUGGGAGGUGAAAGUCAUGUGCAUCUGCCCUAAAGACACCGCAGCAGCUGAAUGCCUCCUGGAGGCUGGAGGAUUAGAUGCUCUUUCCAUUCCUCAGCCUUUCUGCAGACAUUCUGCUGGCCCAUCUCUGCCAAGCACAGUGAAGGGAACUGCCUACCUGUGGGACACUGAGCUGAGCCAUGGAGCUCAUUCUACAUUUACUGAAGGGUGGACAGGAGAUAUGUGGAGCCACUACACCUGGGUCCAUCAAUAACAGCACAGUUUGAAAUACACUACUUGGCACAGGUUUACAGCACGGCUAGGUCUUCUUGGACUUACUCAUGAUAGAAUAACACUGCACUGUGCUUUCAUUACUUGCAUAUAAGUUGAUGCAGAGAUACUGGAAUUUUUAAGGAUAUAAGAAGAUAGAGUCGCCUAAUCUGUUCUUCUGAAUCACACGAGAACACCUAUAGGUAAUGGCCACGGCUAUCUGAUGCUGGAGGAAUGCAGCAAGUGAAUAAUUGUGAUUGUGCACUGCAGUAGACUACAGUUGGUGAAACUGAAAUGGGAACUCUUGAACUCUUUCUCUGCCAGAUAUGGGAUAGAGAAAUUGCCUACAGGCUGGUCUAGGUGAAGCUGCAUUAAGCUAAGCUGUAGAGGAAAUUAUUGUUGUAUUCACUGCAAGGGCUGCUAUGACAACAGACGAAUGCUGCAGGUAAUUUAAUUACAUUUCUGUCAGCCCCUCUGCCUUUCAGGAGACAAUGCAGCAGCCAACAGCAUUUUCUUUUAAUUUUGCAGGUGGCACAAAAAUCCCAUGUCAUUUCUCCUCCAGAGGGCCUAACAAGAGCAUUUCACUUGAGUCACGAGACAUUAUUUAAGUACCUUGAAGGACUGCUUGUGCUUUCUUCCAGCAUCUCCAAUCCAGCAUGCUUUCACCCCACGGGCUCAGCAGUCGCACUGCGCAGUGAUGCUUUGAGUCCAUCCUCUCCUUUGCAGCUGUAUGACACUCCCGUGGGCUAAACUCCAACAGCAGCAUCUCCAUUUGCACACCGAAGACAGAAACGUUUUCACUGAAAACAAAGCAACAAACACCAGCUCAGCCCAAAGCCAACAAAGCCCGGUGGGAGCAGAGACACCUUCGUGUCCAACUCGCGCAGUGCCAGAAGACAGCAGAAUGCAGCAGUGGGUGGCUGCCAGCAAGCACUGUCUCCUUCUCCACAGUGUAGGAGAUGGCGUGGGUCAAAUGGGAGUUUUAAUUACAUGACAGAGUUUUUAAUUAAUUCUGUUAACUGUUGGAGGCAUUUCUCCAGCAACAGCAGGAAAGGGUGGCAGUUACCGCUCCGUGCUGCGCCUCGAGCUGUGCAGCAGCAAAGCAUCCUCCUGCCCUGCCCCUACCCAAGGCACUGGGAAGAAAUAAAUGUGUGAAAAUCAGCGUUCAUCUGACAAAAGAGAGCUGAGGAAGCCACGGUGCCGGCUGGCUGCCUCCAUCCUGCACACAUCUUUCAUGUCUCAGGUGUGCUUUGGAAAUGAACACCACUUGACCAUAUUAAUG
ensembl:lncRNA